UCGUAGGGCUUCGGCCCUGUCGAGAUAGAACCCUUGUCUUUUUGAGUACCUUUCGUUUCCUCGGCAGCCUCGGCUGCCAAUGGGGACCCCAAAAAACACUUUGCAGUACCUGUAACAGUCUGAACAAACAAACAAAAAUUA
rnacentral:misc_RNA from 1 species